rnacentral:rRNA from 1 species
GAUGAACGCUGACAGAAUGCUUAACACAUGCAAGUCAACUGUGGCGGACGGGUGAGUAACGCGUAAAGAACUUGCCUCACAGCUAGGGACAACAUUUGGAAACGAAUGCUAAUACCUGAUACUGUGAGAGAGCUUUGCGUCCCAUUAGCUAGUUGGAGAGGUAACGGCUCACCAAGGCGACGAUGGGUAGCCGGCCUGAGAGGGUGAUCGGCCACAAGGGGAAGGAGACACGGCCCUUAAUCCUACGGGAGGCAGCAGUGGGGAAGAUUGGACAAUGGACCAAAGUCUGAUCCAGCAAUUCGGUGUGCACGAUGAAGUUUUCGGAAUGUAAAGUGCUUGAAGGUGGGAAGCGGUACCAACAGAAGAAGUGACGGCUAAAUACGUGCCAGCAGCCGCGGUAAUUC